AUUGAACGCUGGCGGAAUGCUUUACACAUGCAAGUCGAACGGCAGCACGGGGGCAACCCUGGUGGCGAGUGGCGAACGGGUGAGUAAUACAUCGGAACGUGCCCGGUCGUGGGGGAUAACGUAGCGAAAGUUACGCUAAUACCGCAUACGAUCUGAGGAUGAAAGCGGGGGACCUUCGGGCCUCGCGCGAUCGGAGCGGCCGAUGUCAGAUUAGGUAGUUGGUGGGGUAAAGGCCUACCAAGCCGACGAUCUGUAGCUGGUCUGAGAGGACGACCAGCCACACUGGGACUGAGACACGGCCCAGACUCCUACGGGAGGCAGCAGUGGGGAAUUUUGGACAAUGGGCGCAAGCCUGAUCCAGCCAUUCCGCGUGCAGGACGAAGGCCUUCGGGUUGUAAACUGCUUUUGUAUGGAACGAAAAGGCUCUGGCUAAUACCUGGGGCUCAUGACGGCACCGUAAGAAUAAGCACCGGCUAACUACGUG
rnacentral:rRNA from 1 species